GACGAACGCUGGCGGCGUGCUUAACACAUGCAAGUCGAACGAAGUGGCGAACGGGUGAGUAACGCGUAAUCAACCUGCCCUUCCGAGGGGGACAACAGUUGGAAACGACUGCUAAUACCGCAUACUGAAGGAGGUGAUUGCGUUGGUUUAGCUAGUUGGCGGGGUAACGGCCCACCAAGGCGAUGAUCAGGAGCCGGUCUGAGAGGAUGAGCGGCCACAUUGGGACUGAGACACGGCCCAGACUCCUACGGGAGGCAGCAGUGGGGAAUCUUCCGCAAUGGACGAAAGUCUGACGGAGCAACGCCGCGUGAGUGAUGACGGCCUUCGGGUUGUAAAGCUCUGUUAAUCGGGACGCGGUACCGGAAUAGAAAGCCACGGCUAACUACGUGCCAGCAGCCGCGGUAAUUC
rnacentral:rRNA from 1 species